AGGACGCUUCCUUCGGGAAGCGAGCGUACACAGGUGCUGCAUGGCUGUCGUCAGCUCGUGUCGUGAGAUGUUGGGUUAAGUCCCGCAACGAGCGCAACCCUUGUGUUUUAGUUGCAAACAGGUCAAGCUGUGCACUCUAGACAGACUGCCGUGGACAACACGGAGGAAGGUGGGGAUGACGUCAAAUCAUCAUGCCCCUUAUGAUCUGGGCUACACACGUGCUACAAUGGCCGGUACAACGGGCAGCGAAGGAGCGAUCCGGAGCGAAUCCUAAAAAGCCGGUCCCAGUUCGGAUUGCAGGCUGAAACUCGCCUACAUGAAGUUGGAGUUGCUAGUAAUCGCGAAUCAGAAUGUCGCGGUGAAUGCGUUCCCGGGUCUU
rnacentral:rRNA from 1 species